rnacentral:rRNA from 1 species
CCCUUUCCGUAGGUGAACCUGCGGAGGGAUCAUUACCGAGUUAUUCAACUCAUCAACCCUGUGAACAUACCUAAACGUUGCUUCGGCGGGAAUAGACGGCCCCGUGAAACGGGCCGCCCCCGCCAGAGGACCCCUAACUCUGUUUCUAUAAUGUUUCUUCUGAGUAAAACAAGCAAAUAAAUUAAAACUUUCAACAACGGAUCUCUUGGCUCUGGCAUCGAUGAAGAACGCAGCGAAAUGCGAUAAGUAAUGUGAAUUGCAGAAUUCAGUGAAUCAUCGAAUCUUUGAACGCACAUUGCGCCCGCCAGUAUUCUGGCGGGCAUGCCUGUUCGAGCGUCAUUACAACCCUCAGGCCCCCGGGCCUGGCGUUGGGGAUCGGCGGAGCCCCCCGUGGGCACACGCCGUCCCCCAAAUACAGUGGCGGUCCCGCCGCAGCUUCCAUCGCGUAGUAGCUAACACCUCGCGACUGGAGAGCGGCGCGGCCACGCCGUAAAACACCCAACUCUUCUGAAGUUGACCUCGAAUCAGGUAGGAAUACCCGCUGAACUUAAGCAUAUCAAUAAGCGGAGGA